rnacentral:rRNA from 1 species
GAUGAACGCUGGCGGCGUGCCUAAUACAUGCAAGUCGAGCGAACAGACGAGGAGCUUGCUCCUCUGACGUUAGCGGCGGACGGGUGAGUAACACGUGGAUAACCUACCUAUAAUACUGGGAUAACUUCGGGAAACCGGAGCUAAUACCGGAUAAUAUAUUUAACCGCAUGGUUCAAUAGUUAAAGACGGUUUUGCUGUCACUUAUAGAUGGAUCCACGCCGCAUUAGCUAGUUGGUAAGGUAACGGCUUACCAAGGCAACGAUGCGUAGCCGACCUGAGAGGGGGAGCGGACACACUGGAACGGAGACACGGUCCAGACUCCGACGGGAGGAAGCAGUAGGGAAUCUUACGCAAUGGGCGAAAGCUUGACGGAGCAACGCCGCGUGAGUGAUGAAGGUCUUCGGAUCGUAAAACUCUGUUAUUAGGGAAGAAAAAAUGUGUAAGUAAAUAUGCACGUCUUGACGGUACCUAAUCAGAAAGCCACGGCUAACUACGUG